GCUUGUAGUGAAGGCUUCCUUGUUUAACAAAUGUAGCACUGUCACUUUAAGAGCCACACUAGAUCAAAACACGCGGGAACAUAUGCAGCGUGUGAGAAUCAGACCAGAAAGGGUGACAUGCACGUAAAGGAGGGUAGUCGCUGAACUGUGCCCACUGCUUGUCCCAACUUGAUACACCCAUGAUCGUCCUCGUAACCCUGGCGAUAUUCAGAGCACAAUAUCUGGAGUGGUUUGGGUUGGAGUUUGAAAUCUACCACUAGUGAGUCGUGUGAACAGCUGUACAGCGUAAGUGUUCGCAAUGUUAUAAGAUGUAAAUAUGUUUUUUACUGUAAAUUAUAUGAACUGUGUUAUCUGUUCUUUAGAGGGGAGAUCAUUUGUGUUUGACCACGUGCUUUGUACACACCCAACACACCGGAACAUAUCGAGUAAGUGUGGCUGCAUCUCAAAACAGUUGUAAUGAUUAUUUGUUCUGCACUAAGAAGUAUUGUGGCUUGUAAAUAAUGUAUUUUUAUUUCUGUUUUCCUAUUAAGCAAGCCACUGCUGUUGUCUAUUGUGGCGUAAUUGUCUGUAAUCUGUUAAAUGAUUUUCUUUGAUCUCUUAGAUCCCUUUUCGACCUCUUUUAAAAUUCAGUUAACAUCUCAGUCUUUCAUCUUAAUGCUGAACAAUUUUUCAUUGUUCAGUCGGGAAUAAAGCCCACCUAAAAAUUAUUUUGUGUCCAGUCCAGUCUUUCCAAAGACCCGGCUACAAAAGUAAA